AUUCCAGACCUGGAACUCUAUCCACUUCAGGGUAGACUAAUACCUCCCACGUGGAGGCUGCCAAGCCUUUUGCAGGGCUGUUUUCCACCUUGGGUGACCACUUGAUCCACCUAACUCUCACCUAUGGCUUCAAGAAGCUGUAGCAUGCCCAGUGGCCACAUCCUAGUAAACCAUUUUGGCAGAUGGGCUAAACCAGGUGAAGAGUAACCAAAGGAUCCCAACUCUAUGGUGAGUUAGGCAGUGUCUACCACAAGCAUGUAGAGACUUGCCCUGGUGGAAUGGGUGGCUGAGACCAAUUUGUUCUAACAGCCUCCAUGAAGGCAGGUGAAGCAGAUGCUGUGGAGCGCUUAGAGCUUGAUUAGACAUUGAGGACACUAAGGUCAUUCACUGCAUCUUGAGUCAUCACUAGCUAUCUUGAUUCUGUCCUGCUACCAGACAGGGGUGGCUCUGGAAGAAAGAGGAAAGCUGAUGACUUUGUGCAACUCUGCUUCACACAAAUCCAAUUUAUGCAUGAAUCCAAAGAAUAUGGCUACUACUUCUCCCUAUUAAGGACUAAGGAGUGCAUGGAGGAGUUGUGAUAUGUUUUUCUAACAAAUGUGUUCAUGAGGCCUCACCUUGUGUUCUGCCUCAAUACAACCCACUAAGAAAAUAUUCAAUAUGCACAUUCAGUUAUGGUUCAACAGUCAAGUAAAAGCUUUUUCAGUACCAUCCAGGAAGCCAGCAGUCAAAAAUGUCUGCAUAUAUUCUGAAGUUGUUCCUUCAUUAUUCUCUUCUAGAAGCUGGCUCCCAAAGCUUCCAUAUGGAUUCCUACCAGAAAGAUCACACUGUCCAUGCUUCCAGGACUGGGAUCUCAUUGUCCAGUCCAUUUCAAGUGCCACCGCCUGCAAGAAGUCUUCCUGAUCUUCCUCCUCUGGUCUUUUUUACAUUCUCCCAGCAGACCUUCUCACCCUGAAUAUUGAUUACCCUCCUGCUCAACCCUCCCAACUGCACAAUGCUGGGGACAUAGAAAGUGAUGGAUUGAUUGAUCUGUAUCCUCUGGAAAUACUGGCUCCUUGCUACAGAACUUAUACAGGAAAGAGGCUUAUCAACCAAGCAGCAAUCUCCUUCCUCAAAAAGUAGAUGGGAUUCAGAAUGGCAGAUGGCCUGAAGACAAUAUCUCCACUAUACACUAUAGCUGAGACAAAUAGAAAGAGGUGGCUGAAAAA